CAAAAGAGUGGGAAGAGCUUCGAGUAGAGGUGACAAAUCUACCGAGCCCAGUAAUAGCUGGUUGCCUGAGAAACGAAUAGAAGUUCAGCCCUCUGAUCUUUCCCCCCUCACUCUUUUCGAAGAACAAAGGAAGACAUAGGAGUUAGUCAAAAGGGGGACAGCCCUUUUAACCUAAGAUACAACUUUAGCAGAUGAAAUAAGAUCAUAAUAAUCAAGGACCAAGACCUGAGUGGGCUUAAAAGCAGCCAUCUCAAAAGAAAGCGUUAAAGCUCUGACUACCCUCCCUUCUUUAAAUUCUGAUAUCUAAUCUUUUCCCCUGCCCCUUAUCAGGCUGUCUUAUGCCCCCAUAAGAUCAACAAUGCUAAAAUGAGUAAUAAGAAGAAACACUCUUCUCCACGCAUAUGUGUAACUCGGAUCGGACCUCCCACCGACUUCUACGCGACCCCAAGCCCAGAGGGUAAAUAAGCUAAAACCACAAGAAAACCGCUUAACAAAAAUCGUUAACCCCACACAGGUAUGCACCAAGGAAAGACUAAAAGAGAAGGAAGGAACUCGGCAAACCCGGGCCUCGCCUGUUUACCAAAAACAUCGCCUCUUGACGCACUAACCCUGCUUAAUAUAAGAGGUCUCGCCUGCCCACUGACUAUAAGUUAAAGGGCCGUGGUAUCUUAACCACGCAAAGGUAGCGUAAUCAUUUGUCUUUUAAAUGUAGACCUGUAUGAAUGGCAAAACGAGGGCCCAACUGUCUCCCUCCUCUAGUCAAUGAAAUUGACCUCCCCGUGCAGAGGCGGGGAUAAAACUAUAAGACGAGAAGACCCUGUGGAGCUUUAGACCUAAAAUAAUCUACUGAGUAAGCUUAAAAACAAGCCAAACCCCCAGUGAACGCUAUUGAAAUGUCUUUGGUUGGGGUGACCCUGGGGAACAACAUAACCCCCAUGAAGAUAGGAUAAAUUUAACUUCCAACACCCAGAGCCACCACUCCAAGUAACAAAAUCUUUGACUUUAAAAUGAUCCGGCAAUUGCCGAGUAACGAACCCAGUUACCCCAGGGAUAACAGCGCAAUCCCCUUACAGAGCCCUUAUCGACAAGGGGGUUU
rnacentral:rRNA from 1 species